rnacentral:rRNA from 1 species
UACGGGGGGGGGCAAGCGUUGUUCGGAAUUACUGGGCGUAAAGGCUCGUAGGCGGCCAACUAAGUCAGACGUGAAAUCCCUCGGCUUAACCGGGGAACUGCGUCUGAUACUGGAUGGCUUGAAUCCGGGAGAGGGAUGCGGAAUUCCAGGUGUAGCGGUGAAAUGCGUAGAUAUCUGGAGGAACACCGGUGGCGAAGGCGGCAUCCUGGACCGGCAUUGACGCUGAGGAGCGAAAGCCAGGGGAGCAAACGGG